rnacentral:rRNA from 1 species
UACGUAGGGGGCAAGCGUUGUCCGGAUUUAUUGGGCGUAAAGAGCGUGUAGGCGGCUUGGUAGGUCCGCUGUGAAUACUCGAGGCUCAACCUCGAGAUGUCGGCGGAAACCACUUGGCUAGAGUCCGGAAGAGGAGAGUGGAAUUCCUGGUGUAGCGGUGAAAUGCGCAGAUAUCAGGAAGAACACCUAUGGCGAAGGCAGCUCUCUGGGACGGUACUGACGCUGAGACGCGAAAGCGUGGGGAGCGAACAGG